AUACGUAGGGGGCGAGCGUUAUCCGGAUUUAUUGGGCGUAAAGCGUAUGUAGGCGGUUUAUUAAGUUUAAGAUUAAAGCCCGAGGCUUAACCUCGGUAUGUUUUAAAUACUGGUAGACUAGAGUGUGGUAGAGGCAAAUGGAAUUCCUAAUGUAGCGGUAAAAUGCGUAGAUAUUAGGAGGAACAUCAGUGGCGAAGGCGAUUUGCUGGGCCAUUACUGACGCUGAGAUACGAAAGCGUGGGGAGCAAAUAGGAUUAGAUACCCUAGUAGUCCACGCUGUAAACGAUGAGCACUAAGUGUCGGGUUACCGGUGCUGAAGUUAACACAUUAAGUGCUCCGCCUGAGUAGUACGGUCGCAAGACUGAA
rnacentral:rRNA from 1 species